rnacentral:rRNA from 1 species
GAUGAACGCUGGCGGCGUGCCUAAUACAUGCAAGUCGAGCGAACAGAUAAGGAGCUUGCUCCUUUGACGUUAGCGGCGGACGGGUGAGUAACACGUGGAUAACCUACCUAUAAGACUGGGAUAACUUCGGGAAACCGGAGCUAAUACCGGAUAACAUAUUGAACCGCAUGGUUCAAUAGUGAAAGGCGGCUUUGCUGUCACUUAUAGAUGGAUCCGCGCCGUAUUAGCUAGUUGGUAAGGUAACGGCUUACCAAGGCAACGAUACGUAGCCGACCUGAGAGGGUGAUCGACCACACUGGAACUGAGACACGGUCCAGCCUCCUACGGGAGGCAGCAGUAGGGAAUCUUCCGCAAUGGGCGAAAGCCUGACGGAGCAACGCCGCGUGAGUGAUGAAGGUCUUCGGAUCGUAAAACUCUGUUAUCAGGGAAGAACAAAUGUGUAAGUAACUGUGCACAUCUUGACGGUACCUGAUCAGAAAGCCACGGCUAACUACGUG